rnacentral:rRNA from 1 species
GGCGGCGUGCUUAACACAUGCAAGUCGAACGGUGACGCACCUUCGGGUGCUGAUCAGUGGCGAACGGGUGAGUAACACGUGGGCAACCUGCCCCUGACUCUGGGAUAACUCCUCGAAAGAGGUGCUAAUACCGGAUACCAUCCCCCUCGACAUCGUGGGGGGUUGAAAGUUUUUCGGUCAGGGGUGGGCCCGCGGCCUAUCAGCUAGUUGGUGGGGUAACGGCCCACCAAGGCGACGACGGGUAGCCGGCCUGAGAGGGCGACCGGCCACACUGGGACUGAGACACGGCCCAGACUCCUACGGGAGGCAGCAG